rnacentral:rRNA from 1 species
AGAGUUUGAUCAUGGCUCAGGACGAACGCUGGCGGCGUGCUUAACACAUGCAAGUCAAGGGGGCCCAGCAAUGGGCAACCGGCGAACGGGUGCGUAACACGUGAGCAACCUACCGAGAUAUGGGGGAUAGCCGGCCUAACGGCCGAGUAAUACCGCAUACGCUCUCGAUGAGGCAUUUCAUUGAGAGGAAACCUACGGGGUAUUUCGAGGGGCUCGCGGCCUAUCAGCUAGUUGGCGAGGUAACGGCUCACCAAGGCAACGACGGGUAGCUGGUCUGAGAGGAUGGCCAGCCACAUUGGGACUGAGAUACGGCCCAGACUCCUACGGGAGGCAGCAGUGGGGAAUCCUGCGCAAUGGCCUAACGGCUGACGCAGCGACGCCGCGUGUGGGAUGAAGCUCCUCGGAGUGUAAACCACUGUUGCCCGGGACGAAUAGCUCGAUUAAUCGAGCCUGACAGUACCGGGUGAGGAAGCACCGGCUAACUCCGUGCCAGCAGCCGCGGUAAUACGGGGGGUGCGAGCGUUGUCCGGAAUCACUGGGCGUAAAGGGCGCGUAGGUGGUUUGAUAAGGGUGUGGUGAAAGUCCGGGGCUCAACCCCGGAUCUGCCGUGCCGACUGUCAAACUCGAGGACUGUAGAGGCAGACGGAAUUCCGGGUGUAGCGGUGGAAUGCGUAGAGAUCCGGAGGAAGACCGGUGGCGAAGGCGGUCUGCUGGGCAGUUUCUGACACUGAUGCGCGACAGCGUGGGGAGCAAACAGGAUUAGAUACCCUGGUAGUCCACGCCGUAAACGAUGGGUACUAGGUGCCUGGGGGAGCGACCCUCUGGGUGCCGGCGCUAACGCAGGAAGUACCCCGCCUGGGGAGUACGACCGCAAGGCUGAAACUCAAAGGAAUUGACGG